UACGUAGGGUGCAAGCGUUGUCCGGAAUUAUUGGGCGUAAAGAGCUCGUAGGCGGUCUGUCGCGUCUGCUGUGAAAACUCAGGGCUUAACCCUGAGCUUGCAGUGGGUACGGGCAGACUAGAGUGCGGUAGGGGAGACUGGAAUUCCUGGUGUAGCGGUGAAAUGCGCAGAUAUCAGGAGGAACACCGGUGGCGAAGGCGGGUCUCUGGGCCGUAACUGACGCUGAGGAGCGAAGGCAUGGGGAGCGAACAGG
rnacentral:rRNA from 1 species